rnacentral:rRNA from 1 species
CGCAUCUGUGCAUGCAGCAUAUCAAUAAGCGGAGGAAAAGAAACUAACAGGGAUUCCCCUUAGUAACGGCGAGUGAAGCGGGAAGAGCUCAAAUUUGAAAUCUUCAAGGUUUUACCUUGACGAAUUGUAGUUUAAAGAAGUGUUUUCUGUUGAAGUUUUGGUAAAAGUUCUUUGGAAUAGGACAUCAUAGAGGGUGAGAAUCCCGUAUUUGACCAUUAUUUUCAGCUGUGUGAUACACUUUCAAAGAGUCGGAUUGUUUGGGAAUGCAGUCCAAAAUGGGUGGUAAAUUUCAUCUAAAGCUAAAUAUUGGCGAGAGACCGAUAGCGAACAAGUACCGUGAGGGAAAGACUGAAAAGAACUUUGAAAAGAGAGUUAAACAGUACGUGAAAUUGUCAAAAGGGAAGCGUUUGACACCAGUGUUGUUUUCUCGAAAAUCAAUUAAAAAGAGUUAGAUUUUGUUGUGUAUUGACCUUAACAGCUUGCAUUUCAAUUUUCUUGCUUUUUUUAAUGCACUUUUCGUUUAACAAGUCAACAUCAGUUUCUUUUGUUGUAAAAAGGUCAUUGGAAGGUGGCUUUCUUUUCGGAGAAAGUGUUUAUAGCCUUUGACUCCUGCAAUCGGAGAGACUGAGGUCUGCAGCGUAGAUCCUUCGGGGUUAGAUACAUUUGUGCUAAGUUAUAGCUUUUUAUAGACAACUUGUUGACUAUGAUUAGUCUUGUAGCUUACUCGCUUAUGCUAUUUUACCUACGCUUAGGAUGUUGAUGUGAUACUGCGAGCA